rnacentral:rRNA from 1 species
GUCGAGCGAACAGAUAAGGAGCUUGCUCCUUUGACGUUAGCGGCGGACGGGUGAGUAACACGUGGGUAACCUACCUAUAAGACUGGGAUAACUUCGGGAAACCGGAGCUAAUACCGGAUAACAUUUGGAACCGCAUGGUUCUAAAGUGAAAGAUGGUUUUGCUAUCACUUAUAGAUGGACCCGCGCCGUAUUAGCUAGUUGGUAAGGUAACGGCUUACCAAGGCGACGAUACGUAGCCGACCUGAGAGGGUGAUCGGCCACACUGGAACUGAGACACGGUCCAGACUCCUACGGGAGGCAGCAGUAGGGAAUCUUCCGCAAUGGGCGAAAGCCUGACGGAGCAACGCCGCGUGAGUGAUGAAGGGUUUCGGCUCGUAAAACUCUGUUAUUAGGGAAGAACAAAUGUGUAAGUAACUGUGCACAUCUUGACGGUACCUAAUCAGAAAGCCACGGCUAACUACGUGCCAGCAGCCGCGGUAAUACGUAGGUGGCAAGCGUUAUCCGGAAUUAUUGGGCGUAAAGCGCGCGUAGGCGGUUUCUUAAGUCUGAUGUGAAAGCCCACGGCUCAACCGUGGAGGGUCAUUGGAAACUGGGAAACUUGAGUGCAGAAGAGGAAAGUGGAAUUCCAUGUGUAGCGGUGAAAUGCGCAGAGAUAUGGAGGAACACCAGUGGCGAAGGCGACUUUCUGGUCUGUAACUGACGCUGAUGUGCGAAAGCGUGGGGAUCAAACAGGAUUAGAUACCCUGGUAGUCCACGCCGUAAACGAUGAGUGCUAAGUGUUAGGGGGUUUCCGCCCCUUAGUGCUGCAGCUAACGCAUUAAGCACUCCGCCUGGGGAGUACGACCGCAAGGUUGAAACUCAAAGGAAUUGACGGGGACCCGCACAAGCGGUGGAGCAUGUGGUUUAAUUCGAAGCAACGCGAAGAACCUUACCAAAUCUUGACAUCCUUUGAAAACUCUAGAGAUAGAGCCUUCCCCUUCGGGGGACAAAGUGACAGGUGGUGCAUGGUUGUCGUCAGCUCGUGUCGUGAGAUGUUGGGUUAAGUCCCGCAACGAGCGCAACCCUUAAGCUUAGUUGCCAUCAUUAAGUUGGGCACUCUAGGUUGACUGCCGGUGACAAACCGGAGGAAGGUGGGGAUGACGUCAAAUCAUCAUGCCCCUUAUGAUUUGGGCUACACACGUGCUACAAUGGACAAUACAAAGGGCAGCUAAACCGCGAGGUCAUGCAAAUCCCAUAAAGUUGUUCUCAGUUCGGAUUGUAGUCUGCAACUCGACUACAUGAAGCUGGAAUCGCUAGUAAUCGUAGAUCAGCAUGCUACGGUGAAUACGUUCCCGGGUCUUGUACACACCGCCCGUCACACCACGAGAGUUUGUAACACCCGAAGCCGGUGGAGUAACCAUUUAUGGAGCUA